rnacentral:rRNA from 1 species
GACGAACGCUGGCGGCGUGCUUAACACAUGCAAGUCGAACGGUGAAGCGCCUUCCUUUUUGGUGGGUGUGGAUGAGUGGCGAACGGGUGAGUAACACGUGAGUAACCUGCCCCCUUCUUCUGGAUAACCGCAUGAAAGUGUGGCUAAUACGGGAUAUUCUGGGUCUGUCGCAUGAUGGGUCUGGGAAAGAUAUUGUUUCGGUGGGGGAUGGGCUCGCGGCCUAUCAGCUUGUUGGUGGGGUGAUGGCCUACCAAGGCGGUGACGGGUAGCCGGCCUGGGAGGGUGGACGGUCACACUGGGACGGAGACACGGACCAGACACCUACGGGAGGCAGAAGUGGGGAAUAUUGCACAAUGGGGGCAAGCCUGAUGCAGCGACGCCGCGUGAGGGAGGGAGGCCUUCGGGUUGUGAACCUCUUUCGCCAGUGAAGCAGGCCUGCCUCGUUUGUGGGUGGGUUGACGGUAGCUGGAGAAGAAGCGCCGGCUAACUACGUG